CAUUUGACGUUAGCUGCAGAAGAAGCACCGGCUAACUCCGUGCCAGCAGCCGCGGUAAUACGGAGGGUGCGAGCGUUAAUACGGAAUUACGUGGGACGUAAAGCGCAUGCAGGUGGUUUAGUUAAGUCAGAUGUAGAAAACGGCCCCGGGGCUACAACCGUACGGUAAUUGCUAUUUAGAAACUGGACAAACUAGAGUACUGUAGAGGGGGUAGAAUUUCAGGUGUAGCGGUGAAAUGCGUAGAGAUCUGAAGGAAUACCGGUGGCGAAGGCGGCCCCCUGGACAGAUACUGACACUCAGAUGCGAAAGCGUGGGGAGCAAACAGGAUUAGAUACCCUGGUAG
rnacentral:rRNA from 1 species